rnacentral:rRNA from 1 species
GACGAACGCUGGCGGCGUGCUUAACACAUGCAAGUCGAACGGUGAAAGGGAGCUUGCUCCCUGGAUCAGUGGCGAACGGGUGAGUAACACGUGGGCAACCUGCCCCUGACUCUGGGAUAACGCUUCGAAAGAGGUGCUAAUACCGGAUACGAACUCCCUUGGCAUCUUGGGAGUUGGAAAGUUUUUCGGUCAGGGAUGGGCCCGCGGCCUAUCAGCUGGUUGGUGAGGUAAUGGCUCACAAAGGCGACGACGGGUAGCCGGCCUGAGAGGGCGACCGGCCACCCUGGGACUGAGGCACGGCCGAGAGUCCGACGAGGGGAAGGAGUGGGGAAUAUUGCGCAAUGGGCGAAAGCCUGACGAAGCAACGCCGCGGGAGGGAUGACGGCCUUCGGGUUGUAAACCUCUUGCAGCAGGGAAGAAGCGAAAGUGACGGUACCUGCAGAAGAAGCACCGGCUAACUACGUGCCAGCCGCCGCUGUAAGAC